GAGAAAACUCAGCAAAAUCAGGAGGACAUUGCCCCCUUUCACAUUGGAAGGCCUUCUUGCAAAAGAGCUCCAAGGCUUUUUCAAAUGGUAGAAAUGGUAGCUUGUACACAUAAUAAUCUAGAGAUUCAUUGUUGGAAGGUGCAACAUCCUCAUUUCGGGUUGUGAUUAUUAUUCUAUUGCCUUUGACAUUAUCUGGGAAAGCACAUUUUAUAUGGUCCCAAAAUCCUGUAUCCCAUAUAUCAUCAAAAAUUACUAAAUACCUUUGUUCAUAUAAAUAGGUCCUCAAUUCUUCAAUUAGUGAUGGCACUUUCAUUAUGUCAAUUUCCCUAGGAGCAAACCCCUUCCUUGCCUUGUAGAAUUGCUUGAUCGUAUCCCUUAAUAGCUCCUCCAUCUUGUAUGAUUGAGACACAGUGAUCCAAGCACGACAAUCAAAGUGUGGUGCCACCUUAUCAUUGUCAUAUACUUUCUUGACAAGAGUGGUCUUCCCAAGGCCACCAAGGCCAACCACUGAAAACA